UGUGGAAUAUUGGACAAUGGAUGGAAAUCUGAUCCAGCCAUGCCGCGUGCAGGAAGACGGCCCUAUGGGUUGUAAACUGCUUUUGUAUGGGAGCAAUAAGGACUACGUGUAGUUUGAUGAGAGUACCAUACGAAUAAGCAUCGGCUAACUACGUGCCAGCAGCCGCGGUAAUACGUAGGGGGCAAGCGUUGUCCGGAUUUACUGGGUGUAAAGGGUGCUCAGGCGGAUUUGUAAGUCAGAGGUGAAAUCUUACAGCUUAACUGUGAAACUGCCUUUGAUACUGCAAGCCUGGAGUAUGGAAGAGAGUGAUGGAAUAUCUGGUGUAGCAGUGAAAUGCGUAGAUAUCAGAUAGAACACCAAUGGCGAAGGCAGUCACUUGGUCCAUUACUGACGCUAAAGCACGAAAGCGUGGGUAGCAAAC
rnacentral:rRNA from 1 species